rnacentral:rRNA from 1 species
UCAAAAACAUCUCUUCUUGAAUUACAAGAUAAGAAGUAGGCCUCUUGCCCGGUGACUUAGCGGUUUAACGGCGGUGAAAGCCUUAAAGUAACGUAAUCAAUCGGCCUUUAAUAGGGGUCUAGUAUGAAAGGGUUGACGUUGGGGCAACUAUCUUACGGAGGAUUCUUGAAAUUUACCUCCUAGUAAAAAGGCUGGAUUUUUCUUAAAAGACGAGAAGACCCUGUCGAGCUUGUUAACCGGAUCUGAGCUAUCGGACGUUAUGGUUAGCUGGUGGUAGCAUCGGGACGGUAGCGUCCAAGACGGUAGUCUAGGUGAUGGUAGAUUGGUUGGGGCAACAACGGAGAAAAUACAAACCUCUAGUUUACUUUGAAUACAGGUCCUUCAUUUGUGGAGAAGAGGAUUAGUUACCGCAGGGAUAACAGCGUGAGAUUGUCCCCGAGUUCGUAUCGUGGGGCAGAACCUACGACCUCGAUGUUGGAUUAGGGUAUCGUCCAGGCGCAGCCGCUUGGGUGGAAGGUCUGUGAAGGCCUUUAAAAG